rnacentral:rRNA from 1 species
UACGAAGGGGGCUAGCGUUGCUCGGAAUCACUGGGCGUAAAGCGCACGUAGGCGGAUUGUUAAGUCAGGGGUGAAAUCCUGGAGCUCAACUCCAGAACUGCCUUUGAUACUGGCGUGCUUGAGGACUGGAGAGGAGACUGGAAUUUACGGUGUAGCGGUGAAAUGCGUAGAUAUCGUAAGGAAGACCAGUGGCGAAGGCGGGUCUCUGGACAGUUCCUGACGCUGAGGCACGAAGGUCAGGGGAGCAAACGGG